AGUGAACGCUGGCGGUAGGCCUAACACAUGCCAGUCGAACGGCAGCACAGUAAGAGCUUGCUCUUACGGGUGGCGAGUGGCGGACGGGUGAGGAAUACAUCGGAAUCUACUUUUUCGUGGGGGAUAAUGUAGGGAAACUUACGCUAAUACCGCAUACGACCUACGGGUGAAAGCAGGGGAUCUUCGGACCUUGCGCGAUUGAAUGAGCCGAUGUCGGAUUAGCUAGUUGGCGGGGUAAAGGCCCACCAAGGCGACGAUCCGUAGCUGGUCUGAGAGGAUGAUCAGCCACACUGGAACUGAGACACGGUCCAGACUCCUACGGGAGGCAGCAGUGGGGAAUAUUGGUCAAUGGGCGCAAGCCUGAUCCAGCCAUACCGCGUGGGUGAAGAAGGCCUUCGGGUUGUAAAGCCCUUUUGUUGGGAAAGAAAAGCAGCAGGUUAAUACCCCGCUGUUCUGACGGUACCCAAAGAAUAAGCACCGGCUAACUUCGUG
rnacentral:rRNA from 1 species